rnacentral:lncRNA from 1 species
GCCAAUCUGACCUUUUUCCAAAGCGUUUUUGUUUGUUUUGAAACUUUUAAUCCAAUAAGAGCCUCUGUCGAUGCCAUCAUGAAUUCAGAUGUGUUUAUUUUGGAGCCUACACCAGCGCCUUUUUUGUUUGCUCUUUCCGGCAAUUCCCCAGUGAGGAGGAAGCCCCAGGAGUAAGGUCUUUACCGUCCGCACUGGAAGGGUGGAAGCUGUAAGAGGGAGAAUCGGGAACGCCAUGGGGUUGGCCACUCCGGUAUUUGAGGGGCUUUAGUCUACGUUAGAAUGGUGCUGGGCACGAAUGCAAUGUGGCUUUUGGUGGCUUCUGACGGACAGUUCUGUGCCAAAGGGGUGGAAGUGGCUGCCGAGGUCCCAAAGUUAAAAUUUCACAUGCCAGCCAUGGGCAAACAGGCACUAAGCAGAAUUAGCUGGAAGUUGAAGGGGUGGACUUGA